rnacentral:rRNA from 1 species
AAAUUGAAGAGUUUGAUCAUGGCUCAGAUUGAACGCUGGCGGCAGGCCUAACACAUGCAAGUCGAACGGUAACAGGAAGCAGCUUGCUGCUUCGCUGACGAGUGGCGGACGGGUGAGUAAUGUCUGGGAAACUGCCUGAUGGAGGGGGAUAACUACUGGAAACGGUAGCUAAUACCGCAUAAUGUCGCAGGACCAAAGAGGGGGACCUUCGGGCCUCUUGCCAUCAGAUGUGCCCAGAUGGGAUUAGCUUGUUGGUGAGGUAACGGCUCACCAAGGCGACGAUCCCUAGCUGGUCUGAGAGGAUGACCAGCCACACUGGAACUGAGACACGGUCCAGACUCCUACGGGAGGCAGCAGUGGGGAAUAUUGCACAAUGGGCGCAAGCCUGAUGCAGCCAUGCCGCGUGUAUGAAGAAGGCCUUCGGGUUGUAAAGUACUUUCAGCGGGGAGGAAGGGGAUAAGGCUAAUAACCUUGUUCAUUGACGUUACCCGCAGAAGAAGCACCGGCUAACUCCGUGCCAGCAGCCGCGGUAAUACGGAGGGUGCAAGCGUUAAUCGGAAUUACUGGGCGUAAAGCGCACGCAGGCGGUCUGUCAAGUCGGAUGUGAAAUCCCCGGGCUCAACCUGGGAACUGCAUUCGAAACUGGCAGGCUUGAGUCUUGUAGAGGGGGGUAGAAUUCCAGGUGUAGCGGUGAAAUGCGUAGAGAUCUGGAGGAAUACCGGUGGCGAAGGCGGCCCCCUGGACAAAGACUGACGCUCAGGUGCGAAAGCGUGGGGAGCAAACAGGAUUAGAUACCCUGGUAGUCCACGCCGUAAACGAUGUCUACUUGGAGGUUGUGCCCUUGAGGCGUGGCUUCCGGAGCUAACGCGUUAAGUAGACCGCCUGGGGAGUACGGCCGCAAGGUUAAAACUCAAAUGAAUUGACGGGGGCCCGCACAAGCGGUGGAGCAUGUGGUUUAAUUCGAUGCAACGCGAAGAACCUUACCUGGUCUUGACAUCCACAGAACUUUCCAGAGAUGGAUUGGUGCCUUCGGGAACUGUGAGACAGGUGCUGCAUGGCUGUCGUCAGCUCGUGUUGUGAAAUGUUGGGUUAAGUCCCGCAACGAGCGCAACCCUUAUCCUUUGUUGCCAGCGGUCCGGCCGGGAACUCAAAGGAGACUGCCAGUGAUAAACUGGAGGAAGGUGGGGAUGACGUCAAGUCAUCAUGGCCCUUACGACCAGGGCUACACACGUGCUACAAUGGCGCAUACAAAGAGAAGCGACCUCGCGAGAGCAAGCGGACCUCAUAAAGUGCGUCGUAGUCCGGACUGGAGUCUGCAACUCGACUCCAUGAAGUCGGAAUCGCUAGUAAUCGUGGAUCAGAAUGCCACGGUGAAUACGUUCCCGGGCCUUGUACACACCGCCCGUCACACCAUGGGAGUGGGUUGCAAAAGAAGUAGGUAGCUUAACCUUCGGGAGGGCGCUUACCACUUUGUGAUUCAUGACUGGGGUGAAGUCGUAACAAGGUAACCGUAGGGGAACCUGCGGUUGGAUCACCUCCUUA